rnacentral:rRNA from 1 species
CUACGGGGGGCUGCAGUGGGGAAUCUUAGACAAUGGGGGAAACCCUGAUCUAGCCAUGCCGCGUGAGCGACGACGGCCCUAGGGUUGUAAAGCUCUUUCAGCAGGGAAGAUAAUGACGGUACCUGCAGAAGAAGUCCCGGCUAACUCCGUGCCAGCAGCCGCGGUAAUACGGAGGGGACUAGCGUUGGUCGGAAUUACUGGGCGUAAAGCGCGCGUAGGCGGAUUGUUAAGGCGGGGGUGAAAUCCCGGGGCUCAACCCCGGAACUGCCCUCGAUACUGGCAGUCUUGAGUUCGAGAGAGGGGAGUGGAAUUCCGAGUGUAGAGGUGAAAUUCGUAGAUAUUCGGAGGAACACCAGUGGCGAAGGCGGCUCACUGGCUCGAUACUGACGCUGAGGUGCGAAAGCGUGGGGAGCAAACAGGAUUAGAUACCCUUGUAGUC